GUGAGGGGGUGACUAGUGACAGAGUGAGGGAAAGGGUGACUAGUGGCAGAGUGAGGGAAGGAAGGGGUGACUAGUGACAGAGUGAGGGAGGUGGUGACUGUCACUAGUCACCACCUCCCUCACUCUGUCACUAGUCACCACCUCCCUCUGUCACUACUCCCUCCCUCCUUCUGUCACUAGUCACCCCCUCCCUCACUGUGUCACUAGUCACCCCCUCACUCUGUCACUAGUCACCCCCUCAC